GGACUCUAUCAGUAAUGGCGAAUGAACGUAGAAAGACCGUCGUUGAAUCGCGCUGCAUGAUGUAGCGUGAGGUGUGAUGUUGUAGAUCUGUAUCAAGGGUUAGCCAAGUUGCGUAAUUUCGAUCGAAAUCGAUAUGACCAAGGCAGGUGAAAGACCUUUUUCGUAACUACGCUAACCUUAUGAUAUUGACGGCCGAGUAGAACUGCUUGAGAUCGCAGUUUAAAUGUGUGUGUCUAAUCCCACACAAGUCUAAGUAUUGUUGCGAGACCGAUAGCGAACAAGUACCGCGAGGGAAAGUUGAAAAGCACUCUGAAAAGAGAGUUCACAAGUCCAUGAAACUGUAUACUGCAAAGCGAAUGGCUGAGUAUCAUUUCUUUUGCAAUCUAGCUGUUGGUGCACUGUGGAUGCGAAAGUGCGUUCACUAAACAAAUGCCUCGGUUCGCACCUUCUAAGCUGAUUGUGUAAGUUGAUGCUUGCUGAAUGGGUCAGAAUGAGUGAUGUUGUAUGAGGAACCUAUACUUAGGUCCCUAAUUGCGAUAUUCACAUUGAUGAGAGUAUAAAUGUGUAUUAUCGUGUUUCUGACAGUAUCAGUAAAAUAUAUGGCCAAGCAUAUACACUGAUGUUAUGAUCGUGGCGGUAUUAUAUGUAAUAGUGCCUACUAAUGGCAUUAGUGUCGAAAUGGCCAAAGCGGAUGGCAUAAUAAUGGCGCUCAGCAUUCGAGCCGUCUUGAAACACGGACUAAGGAGUUCAACUUGAACGCGAGUUGUUUUCUAUUGAGAAUUUUGAAUGCGAAGUGAAAUCGACUCUUAAAAGAGAAGUUAACUGAUGGGUAUGUAACCAUACCAUAAAAGAUAAGCACAGUGAUGGGUGGCACGACUUGUGGCUGACUGCACCUGUCAGAGACCCGAAAAUGGUGAACUAUGCCUGAGUAGAAUGAACAGAGAAAUUGGGGAAGUUCGUAGCGGUUUGACGUGCAAAUCAAUCGCAGCACUUGGGUAAGCAAAGACUAAUCGAACCGUCUUUGCUGGUUCCCUCCGAAGUUUCCCUCAGGAAAGCUAGCGUGUAUCAAUAGUUUACCUAAAGCUAGAUUGGAACGGAGUUGAUACUUUGACCUACUCUCAAACUUAAAACGGAUAAUGCACUUGCUACUUUAUUGAGAGUGACCGUGAAUAGAACACGCCAAGUGGGCCAUUUUUGGUAACAGAACUGGCGAUGUGGGAUGAACCGAACGGCGAGCUAAGGUGCCAAAAGCACCUCUCAAGAGAUGCCAUGAAAGGUGUUAGUUGAUAUAGACAGCAGGACGGUGGCCAUGGAAGUCGGCAUCUGCUAAGGAGUGG
rnacentral:rRNA from 1 species